rnacentral:tRNA from 1 species
GACAACGAAGCUCAGUGGAAGAGCGCAGGGCUUUGCCCUGAGGUUGCUGGUUCGACUCCAGCCGUUGCCA